rnacentral:rRNA from 1 species
AUUGAUCGCUGGCGGCAGGCCUAACACAUGCAAGUCGAGCGGUAGAGAGGAGCUUGCUUCUCUUGAGAGCGGCGGACGGGUGAGUAAUGCCUAGGAAUCUGCCUGGUAGUGGGGGAUAACGUUCGGAAACGGACGCUAAUACCGCAUACGUCCUACGGGAGAAAGUGGGGGAUCUUCGGACCUCACGCUAUCAGAUGAGCCUAGGUCGGAUUAGCUAGUUGGUGAGGUAAAGGCUCACCAAGGCGACGAUCCGUAACUGGUCUGAGAGGAUGAUCAGUCACACUGGAACUGAGACACGGUCCAGACUCGUACGGGAGGCAGCAGUGGGGAAUAUUGGACAAUGGGCGCAAGCCUGAUCCAGCCAUGCCGCGUGUGUGAAGAAGGUCUUCGGAUUGUAAAGCACUUUAAGUUGGGAGGAAGGUCAGUAGCUUAAUACGUUGCUGAUUUGACGUUACCGACGGAAUAAGCACCGGCUAACUCUGUGCCAGCCGCCGCAGUAA